rnacentral:tRNA from 1 species
GGUACAGGGCCGCUGGUGAAGGCUUAUCGACUGCGGAUCGAGAGGUCGUGGGUUCGAGUCCCACCCGUUCCCCCA